rnacentral:misc_RNA from 1 species
GAAAUGCGAUAAGUAGUGUGAAUUGCAGAAUUUAGCGAAUCAUCGAAUCUUUGAACGCACAUUGCGCCCCUUGGUAUUCCAUGGGGCAUGCCUGUUCGAACGUCAUUUCAACCCUCAAGCACUGCUUGGUGUUGGGCGUUUGUCCCGCCUACGCGCGUGGACUCGCCUCAAAGUCAUUGGCAGCUGUUCCCCUUCGGCUCGUAAGCGCAGCACAGUCGGCGCCCGGAGCUCUGGUGGGAUGGCGUCCAGCAAGCUAUAUUUUCAGGCUUGACCUCGGAUCAGGUAGGGAUACCCGCUGAACUUAAGC